UACGUAGGUGGCAAGCGUUAUCCGGAUUUAUUGGGCGUAAAGAGAACGCAGGCGGUCUUUUAAGUCUGAUGUGAAAGCCUUCGGCUUAACCGGAGUAGUGCAUUGGAAACUGGGAGACUUGAGUGCAGAAGAGGAGAGUGGAACUCCAUGUGUAGCGGUGAAAUGCGUAGAUAUAUGGAAGAACACCAGUGGCGAAAGCGGCUCUCUGAUCUGUAACUGACGCUGAGGUUCGAAAGCGUGGGUAGCAAACAGG
rnacentral:rRNA from 1 species